rnacentral:rRNA from 1 species
AGAGUUUGAUCAUGGCUCAGAUUGAACGCUGGCGGCAUGCUUUACACGUGCAAGUCGGACGGCAGCACAGAGAAGCUUGCUUCUUGGGUGGCGAGUGGCGAACGGGUGAGUAACAUAUCGGAACGUACCGAGCAGUGGGGGAUAACUAAUCGAAAGAUUAGCUAAUACCGCAUAUAUUCUGAGGAAGAAAGCAGGGGACCAUUUGGCCUUGCGCUGUUUGAGCGGCCGAUAUCUGAUUAGCUAGUUGGUGGGGUAAAGGCCUACCAAGGCGACGAUCAGUAGCGGGUCUGAGAGGAUGAUCCGCCACACUGGGACUGAGACACGGCCCAGACUCCUACGGGAGGCAGCA